GAUGAAGAACGUAGUGAACGUGCGAAACGUAAUGUGAAUUGCAGAAUUCAGUGAAUCAUCGAAUCUUUGAACGCAUCUUGCGCUCCUUGGUAUUCCGCAGGGCAUGCCUGUUCGAGCGUCAUUUCAACCCUCAAGCUCUGCUUGGUGUUGGGCCCUGCCCGCUGCGGCCGGCCCUAAAGACAGUGGCGGUGCCGCCUGGCCCUGAGCGUAGUACAUCUCUCGCUCCAGUGCCCGGUGGUAGCCUGCCAGAACCCCAACUCUCGUGGUUGACCUCGGAUCAGGUAGGGAUACCCGCUGAACUUAAGCAUAUCAAUAAGCGGAGGA
rnacentral:misc_RNA from 1 species